GGGGUUAUAGCUCAGUGGUAGAAUGUGUGCUUGGCAUGCGCGAGGUUCUGGGUUCAAUCCCCAGUGCCCCCG
rnacentral:tRNA from 1 species